AUUGAACGCUGGCGGCAGGCUUAACACAUGCAAGUCGAGCGGUAACAGAGAGAAGCUUGCUUCUCUGCUGACGAGCGGCGGACGGGUGAGUAAUGCCUAGGAAUCUGCCUAGUAGUGGGGGAUAACUUGCCGAAAGGUAAGCUAAUACCGCAUACGUCCUACGGGAGAAAGGAGGGGACCUUCGGGGCUUUCGCUUUUAGAUGAGACUAGGUCGGAUUAGUUAGUUGGUGGGGUAAUGGCUCACCAAGACCGCGAUCCGUAACUGGUCUGAGAGGAUGAUCAGUCACACUGGAACUGAGACACGGUCCAGACUCCUACGGGAGGCAGCAGUGGGGAAUAUUGGACAAUGGGGGGAACCCUGAUCCAGCCAUGCCGCGUGUGUGAAGAAGGUCUUAGGAUCGUAAAGCACUUUAAGUUGGGAGGAAGAGCAGUUAACUAAUAUUUGACUGUUUUGACGUUACCGACAGAAUAAGCACCGGCUAACUUCGUGCCAGCAGCCGCCGCCG
rnacentral:rRNA from 1 species